CUCUUAGGACAAGAAGAGAUAUCAAAGUACAUCACUAAGCAUUUAUUAAGCACCUGGUGUUAUGCUCUGAAGAUACCAAAAAAAGCAAAACCAAACCAAACCCAAAUCCAAUACUCGCUCUCAAAGAGCUCACGGUCUGGACAGGAGGAUCUGAGUUCAAAUCAGACUAUUACUAGUUAUUUGACCUCGGGCAAGUCAUUUAAUUUUUGUUUGCCUCAGUUUCCUCAUCUGAAUAGUACCUACCCCCCACCCCAGGUGUUAUGAGGAUCAAAGAAGAUAAAAUUGUAAAGUGCUUCACACAAUGCCUGGCUCAUCAGGACUAUAUAAAUGUUGGCUACUAUUAUUGUUGCUGUUGUUAUAUGCAAACAUCAGUGUGUAAACAUGAUACAGACAGGAUAAAUUGAAGACAGCCAGCUGGCCUAUCCCUUUCUCUCUGAGUACGGCUGUAUUUUAUUAAACUCUGAAAAAAGCACUAAAGUAUGAUCACUUAAUUUUCAUACCAAAGAGAAAAAUAUCCCUUUUCCCAGAAUCAUUAAUACCAAUGCUUUCCCCUUGAUUAGCUCCAGAAAUUCCUGACCCUGGGCAAUGUCAAGGCCUGUGGAUCUGUAACUCAGACUGCAGCGGUGUUCAGCGAGCAUCUUGAUCUGUCCUGGGACAGCCAGAAAGUCAAACAGAAUCUGAAAUAUGAGAGACACCGGCCACUCCAGUUGGAUAGACUCCAUGCAGAAGUGGCUCUAGAGAAUAUCUUCUUGACCUCCUGCCCCAAGCAAAACUUCCUGGGAGAAAUAGAAACUAACUACUUCAACCAUCUCAGCCAUUCUCUCAGACUGGGACUCUGUAAUCUUUCCAGUGCUGUUGUGAUCUCUGGAGAACACCUGCUCAACCAAGGUAGUUUCAUGCUACAGUCCAGGGGCCUACUCCGCCUUGCCCCAGACCCUGGGGACGGUUUGGUGCUGGUCUUGACCCUCAGGAACCACAGUACUCCAAAGACUCAAGACUUCUCUGGAGAGCUAGAGCUGAGGGCACCAGGAGAUCAGCAAGUAAGCCUGCUGGGAAGAGUCACUGAAUCAGCCUCUCAGAGUGUAGUCCUGCUACAGGGAAGCAUGGAAAGAGAGGAAAAGUUGGAGUUGACAGCUUCCCGAGCCCCAGACUGUCUCUGGGCUUACCUGGCAUAUGGAAAAGGGACAAAGGAGGAGGGUGUGGAGAUCAGUGCCUGCUCUGAUGGAAGGCAGGUGGCCAAGGCUGAGGCCGUGCUUCGUGUUAGUGGUGGGCAAAAUGAACACUUGGGCCAGCUGGUUCUCAGGGCCGCCAACCAGAGUCUGAGCCUGGCUGCACAUGGCUGCAUCACCCCCAUUGGGAAUAUGGAGUCCAAACUGGCCGAGGUUGGCUCUCACCUACAAGCCAGACUCGUGGAGAAGUUCCAGCUGUUUGACACCUACCUCCAGAAGUUCCGGGACGUGGUGCAUCAGAUUGACUUCCUGGACGGUGCAGCUGGCUGGGUCCUGCAGAUGUCCCAGGCUGCUGUGAGAGCACUCCAGGCAGGGGGUAGAGCAGCAGCUGGACUAUGGAGGCAAAGCUCAGCCAGGCAGGUGCUGAGACAUCACCUCCCCCUGCACCUGGAGAGACUCCAGACCGUUAUGGAACAGACACAGAGUGAGCUGCAAAGCUGCCCACCAGAUACUGAAGUGGGCAGAAGCCAAGUUCUCCAGAGCAAUACGAAGAAUACGGAAACCUUUGUCCAGUAUUUACAGCUUCUCUGCGAGGAACUGCUCUGUGGUGGUAAGGCUUCCAGUGCUGCCAGGAGGGAUCAGCCAAUGGACUUGGCCAAGGUAACCAACUAUCUCAUCGAAGAGAAGUUGCUACAGCCCCUCCGUGAGCUGUAUGGCAUCAACCUCCUGGCGGAGUACUACCGGAUCAAACAUCGGCUGCUGGAGAACCCCUUUGAACACCAUGCAGUGAUGAUUGGGGACAGACACGUGGUGACAUUCGAUGGACAGGCCUAUGACCUUACCUCCAAAUGCAGCCUGUUGCUCGCCAAAGACUUUGCUCACAACUCCUUCAUGUUUUUACUGAACCAGUCAAACACAGGACCUAGAUCCCUGUAUGUGGAGCUGAAUCACACAGCCUUCAUCAUCUAUCCAGGGCUUAAGGUCUACAAGAUAUAUGAUUCUUCCUUGAUGGAAGAGAAUUGUCCGAGCUUGGAUCUGCUACCUGCCAAGGUCAGGGCCAAUGGGAGAAAAGAAGUUCAUAAAAUAGAAUUAUCCAGUGAGAAUGGUGCUAUGGUCUCCUGCGACAUUCAGUCUGAUCUCUGUAGUAUGACACUGGAUGGCUGGAAUCAUGGUAUGUCAGCAGGCAUCUUGGGCACCAAUGACAACGAGGCAGGCAAUGACCUGUUGCUCCCAAAUGGCUCUGUGGCAGGAAACCUGGAUGACUUCAUUGAGGCAUGGCAGGUGGAUGAUGAGUGCCGGACCAAGAGAGGGAAAGCAGAGGUCUGUCUUGGGGCUGCUUCCUCCAGACUCUGCAAAGCAUUCUUUCAGGAUGCCCAUUCUGAGCUCCGUCAUUGCUUCCAAGUGGUAGAUCCUGCCCCGUUCUACAGUAUGUGCAUCCGGGACACCUGUGAGAUAAGUGAAUUACAGGCCGCCUGCGGCAUGGUCUCUGCCUACAUCCACCUGUGCAGCCGAGGCUUCGUUCCCCUGGCAACUCCUCCUCCGUGUGUUUUACUAUAUAAAGAAGUCUGCUGGGAGAAGAUCUAUCCAUCCAGCACCAGCCAUAAACAACCACAGCCUACACACAGAUCUCCAAGUAUCUUUUUGAGAUUCUGCUCAGGGCAGCCAUAGGCUGACAAAGGAUGGCAAACUCUUUCACCUUCUGACAUCACCCAGCUCCAACAUCCAACAAGCAGUGGUAAUCUUGUAGAGAAUCGUCCCUAGCAAGGGAAGAAAACACAGGCACCCGAGAGAAUGAAGAAAACAAUGAGGAUGCCUAUGGCCUGCUGAAGGGCAGCCAUUUACCGCUCUUUUAAGUAACAUGCAUGACCAAGGACAUGACAGCCUCUCCCAACAGGUUUCAGAGAACCUCUUCCUCCUCCACUGUAAGAGCCUAAGACACUGGGAUUGUAUUGUGCUCUACUCUAGCCCCAAAAGCUUUCCUCUGGCACUUCAGAGGGUGAAAAGAGAAGAGCAAUCUGCUUUGGCUGGAAAGGUGACUUUCUCAUUGCAUAUUUACCAAGCAUCUACUAUAUGAAAUACAGUGGUUCUGGAUCAAUUGUGUCAGCAGUAAGGAGGGGUGGGCUGUCUUAGUUAUUAAUCUCAUCAACUCAGGUUUCUUCCAGCUGUAUUUUGCCAUCAAAUUCCUUUUUGUGACUGGCUUAAAAAAAACAAGAGACCUGACUUACUGCACAUGGCUUCCUUGACCUCAACUGUUACAACUUCCCACCAAGGUUGGAGAAGGUCUGGGGUGCCAUAGCAUUUUCAAAAAGUGGGGAAGAUCUCUUCAGAUUUUCUUGUUAUCAAGUGCUUUUUUAAAAAAUACUGUAAAUAAACUAGAUUCAAAUUUUGAGGUUUGGUGGGAA
rnacentral:lncRNA from 1 species